AAUUUUUUUUUCGUUGAAAAUAUAUCACGACACCGGUCGUUAAAUACAAAUACCAUAUAACAAUCCGAGCACGACGUUUUAAUGUUGAAAUUUAAGUUUUUGAUUUAAAGCCAGCAGAAAGGAGUUAAAUAUGUGUUAUAAUUAUCCAAAAUAAGUCUUGAGUUAUAUUUAGUUAUUUGGUUACUUUUUUGUGAAAAUGCCCAACCAUUGUUUACAAUAAAAUGUUUUUAGCAAGUUCCGGAAAUUGGAUUCAAGUUGAUCUUAAAUCUCCAACUGUUUUAACUGGAGUUGUGACUCAAGGCAGACCGGGCGGACAUGCUAUGCAAUGGGUUACAAGUUACAAAAUCGCAUAUGGAAUAAAUCAAACCAGUUUUCAAACCAUUCAAAACAGUGACGGGAACGACUUGAUAUUCCAAGGAAAUAGAGAUAUUAACACAAAAGUUACAAACAUGUUUCCUGCUCCAAUCAUUGGACGUUAUGUGCGUCUCAUGCAUAUUACUUAUCAAGAAUGGGCAACAAUAAGAUUGGAAUACCUGACUUGUUAAACUGCAUUCUCAAGAACGACCGAGACAACUUAUGAUUAAUGCCAACUUUAAUUUAUCGAGGCCCCUCUGUACAACAGUUUGUAAAUACAGCAUUCAUAAAUGUAAAUACACCAUCAGUAUCAAGGCAUUCA